UGCUCCCUACGGGACGCAGCAGUGGGGAAUAUUGGGCAAUGGGCGCAAGCCUGACCCAGCAACGCCGCGUGAAGGAAGAAGGCUUUCGGGUUGUAAACUUCUUUUAAGAGGGAAGAGAAGAAGACGGUACCUCUUGAAUAAGACACGGCUAACUACGUGCCAGCAGCCGCGGUAAUACGUAGGCGGCAAGCGUUGUCCGGAUUUACUGGGUGUAAAGGGCGUGCAGCCGGGCUGACAAGUCAGAUGUGAAAUCACGCGGCUCAACCGCGGAACUGCAUUUGAAACUGUCAGUCUU
rnacentral:rRNA from 1 species